CACAGCUAGCAUCACAGUGUGAGACAGCUACAUUCUGCCUGAUGGUUUUCUUUUAAUUUUACAAACAAUUCAGCCUCUCACAACGUGAAGUCAUCGAAUCACACUCCACUUAUUAUUUUGAAGCUUCAAACUAAGGUCGGUGGGAAUAUCAGUGAAUGCGCAUCAUCAGCCAAGGGAAGUGUCCGGUGCGCUGGAUGCCAAAGAAAUGAAGCCGAGCAAGCAGCCAGCGGAAGAAGCCCGUCCUCUUAGACCCGAAGAAACUGAUGAAGAAGUUGAUCACGGCGGUGACGGCGAUGACACCCGUCGCCACGUUGUUCAGGAUCCCGGCGACGAUCUGAAGAAUCAGUGAGAAGGAGAUGAGCGUCAGCACGGCUGCGUAGUAUCUGAGAAGGUAAGCACAAGUGUUUAGAAAGGAGCUGCUUUAUUAGGAACGCCUUGAAUCAAUACCUGUAUCCCGCGCCCUGCUCAAUGACUGUCUUCAUGUGUGUUAUGUUGGCCAGGAAGAGAGCAAUGUCCAGCAUCCCCUCUGCUGCCGUCUUCUUGGUAGCGUAAAGGUUCAUAUUCAGGUUUGUCGAAGGACCAACCUAACAUUUAAAUAAGAUAGAAUGAAAAACAUAUAAUCUGAAGAAGAUAGCUGAGUGACCUGAUAGUAUUUGAGCCAAGUAGAGAAAAAAAAAGAGUUGAGUACAGUAUCACUCAAGUUAAAGUGAGUUUUGAAGGAGCAGGAAUGUCUGCAGAACAACCAUAAGAGGGCAG